ACGAGGUUAAGAUACUAAGGGCAUACGGUGGAUGCCUUGGCGCCAAGAGCCGAAGAAGGACGCGGAAAGCUGCGAAAAGCUCCGGGGAGCCGCAAGCAGGCUUAGAUCCGGAGGUGUCCGAAUGAGGCAACUCAGCCGGAGUAAUAUCCGGCUACCGUGCACUGAAUAGAUAGGUGUACGGGGGGAACCGGGGGAACUGAAACAUCUCAGUACCCCGAGGAAAAGAAAGCAACAGCGAUUCCCUGAGUAGCGGCGAGCGAAAGGGGAGGAGCCUAAACCAUACCUGUGUAAACCUGCCGGUGUUGCAGGUAUGGGGUAGAGGGGCAAAUCAGGCAGCGCGGCAGAGCUGCCGGGGAGUAAGAAACCUUAUCUAUAGGCGAAGAGGACUGGAAAGUCCCGCGACACAAGGUAAAAGCCCUGUAGCCGAAAUAGAUGAGGCUCCCGAUUUGACCCCGAGUACCACGGGACACGAGGAACCCUGUGGGAAUCCGGGAGGACCACCUCCCAAGGCUAAAUACUCCUUGGCGACCGAUAGUGAACUAGUACCGUGAGGGAAAGGUGAAAAGCACCCCGGGAGGGGAGUGAAAGAGAACCUGAAACCGUGUGCCUACAAGCAGUCAGAGCCCGAUUUAGCGGGUGAUGGCGUGCCUUUUGUAGAAUGAACCGGCGAGUUACGGUAGCAAGCGAGGUUAAGGCGGGGAGCCGGAGCCGAAGCGAAAGCGAGUCUGAAGAGGGCGAAAAGUUUGCUGCCGUAGACCCGAAACCGGGUGAUCUACCCAUGUCCAGGGUGAAGCGGGAGUAAAGUCUCGUGGAGGCCCGAACCGACCGACGUUGAAAAGUCGGCGGAUGAGGUGUGGGUAGGGGUGAAAUGCCAAUCGAACCCGGAGAUAGCUGGUUCUCCCCGAAAUAGCUUUAGGGCUAGCCUCAGGGGAUGAGUUAUGGAGGUAGAGCACUGAAUGGGCUAGGGGCCUGAGCAAGGUUACCGAACCUUAUCAAACUGCGAAUGCCAUAACUUGGACCCUGGGAGUCAGACUAUGAGGGAUAAGCUUCAUAGUCGAGAGGGAAACAGCCCAGACCGCCGAUUAAGGUCCCGAAGUACAGGCUAAGUGGGAAAGGAUGUGCAGCUGCACAGACAACCAGGAUGUUGGCUUAGAAGCAGCCAUCAUUUAAAGAGUGCGUAAUAGCUCACUGGUCGAGUGGUUGUGCGCCGAAAAUGUCCGGGGCUAAGCCUGUCACCGAAAUCGCGGAUUCGCUUGAGUCACCAGUGUCCUAUAAGGCGAACAGGGAAAGGAAGGAGAUUUAGUCAAAACCGACCUUAAGAAAGGAAUAAUGAGGUUUUGACUAAAUGCCAACAGCUAAGCCUGUCCGUCAGAUAGGGUAGCGGUGACUCAAGCGAAUGGUAGGGGAGCGUUCCAUGGGCGGAGAAGGCAUACCGAGAGGAGUGCUGGAGCGCAUGGAAGUGAGAAUGCCGGUAUAAGUAUGCGAAAAGGCAGGUGAGAAUCCUGCCCGCCGAAAACCUGAGGUUUCCUGGGGAAGGCUCGUCCGCCCAGGGUAAGUCGGGACCUAAGCCGAGGCCGAAGAGGCGUAGGUGAUGGACAAUCGGUUGAAAAUCCGAUACCACCAUACAACCGAUAUUACGAAGGGGUGACGCAGGAGGCUAGGGAGAGCCGGUGAUUGGAAGGACCGGUCCAAGCCAGUAGGGAGUGAGGCAGGCAAAUCCGCCUCACGGAAAUCCUGAGAGGUGAAGGGGAGCCCGUAAGGGCGAAGCUUCUGACGCCAAACUGCCGAGAAAAGCCUCUAAGGAGGGGGUAUGGUGCCCGUACCGGAAACCGACACAGGUAGGUGAGGAGAGAAUCCUAAGGCGAGCGAGAGAACCCUCGUUAAGGAACUCGGCAAAAUGACUCCGUAACUUCGGGAGAAGGAGUGCCGCUAGAUGUGAAGGGCCUUGCGCCUGGAGCAUAGAGCGGUCGCAGAGAAGAGGCCCAAGCGACUGUUUACCAAAAACACAGGUCCCUGCCAAAGCGAAAGCUGACGUAUAGGGGCUGACGCCUGCCCGGUGCCGGAAGGUUAAGGGGAAAGGUUAGCUGAGAGGCGAAGCUUUGAACCGAAGCCCCGGUAAACGGCGGCCGUAACUAUAACGGUCCUAAGGUAGCGAAAUUCCUUGUCGGGUAAGUUCCGACCCGCACGAAAGGCGUAACGACUUGGGCGCUGUCUCAACGAGGGACUCGGCGAAAUUGUAGUACACGUGAAGAUGCGUGUUACCUGCGACAGGACAGAAAGACCCCGUGGAGCUUUACUGUAGCCUGACAUUGGAUUUUGGUAUUGCAUGUACAGGAUAGGUGGGAGACUGGGAAGCUUAGGCGCCAGCCUAAGUGGAGUCGCUGGUGGGAUACCACCCUUGUGAUAUUGAAGUUCUAACCCGUACACGAGAGCCGGGUAGGGGACAGUGUCAGGUGGGCAGUUUGACUGGGGCGGUCGCCUCCCAAAGAGUAACGGAGGCGCCCAAAGGUUCCCUCAGCGCGAAUGGAAAACGCGCGGAGAGUGCAAAGGCAGAAGGGAGCUUGACUGUGAGACCGACGGGUCGAGCAGGGACGAAAGUCGGGCUUAGUGAUCCGGUGGUACCGAGUGGAAGGGCCAUCGCUCAACGGAUAAAAGCUACCCCGGGGAUAACAGGCUUAUCUCCCCCAAGAGUCCACAUCGACGGGGAGGUUUGGCACCUCGAUGUCGGCUCAUCGCAUCCUGGGGCUGAAGUAGGUCCCAAGGGUUGGGCUGUUCGCCCAUUAAAGCGGUACGCGAGCUGGGUUCAGAACGUCGUGAGACAGUUCGGUCCCUAUCCGUCGCAGGCGGAGGAAAUUUGAGAGGAGCUGUCCCUAGUACGAGAGGACCGGGAUGGACAGACCGCUGGUGUACCAGUUGUUCCGCCAGGAGCAAUCGCUGGGUAGCCAAGUCUGGACGGGAUAAGCGCUGAAAGCAUCUAAGCGCGAAGUCCACCUCAAGAUAAGAUUUCCCACUGGGAAAACCAGGUAAGACCCCUGGAAGAAGACCAGGUAGAUAGGCCGGGAGUGUAAGAGCCGCAAGGCUUUGAGCGGACCGGUACUAAUAGGUCGAGGUCUUAACCUC
rnacentral:rRNA from 1 species